UACGUAGGGUGCGAGCGUUAAUCGGAAUUACUGGGCGUAAAGCGUGCGCAGGCGGUUCGUUAAGUUCGUCGUGAAAGCCCCGGGCUCAACCUGGGAACUGCGAUGGAAACUGGCGGGCUGGAGGACGGUAGAGGGGGGUGGAAUUCCCGGUGUAGUGGUGAAAUGCGUAGAGAUCGGGAGGAACACCAGUGGCGAAGGCGGCCCCCUGGGCCGUUCCUGACGCUGAGACGCGAAGGCGCGGGGAGCGAACGGG
rnacentral:rRNA from 1 species